UACAGAGGUGGCAAGCGUUGUUCGGAUUUAUUGGGCGUAAAGCGCGCGUAGGCGGGCUGUUAAGUGAGGGGUGAAAGGCUGAGGCUCAACCUCAUGUUUGUCCUCUCAUACUGGCAGUCUUGAGUGAGGCAGGGAGAAGUGGAAUGGCUGGUGUAGCGGUGAAAUGCGUAGAUAUCAGUCGGAACACCGGUGGCGAAGGCGGCUUCUUGGGCCUUAACUGACGCUGAGGCGCGAAAGCUGGGGGAGCGAACGGG
rnacentral:rRNA from 1 species